GCCACUCGCUCCCCGACCACAAGGUCGUCGAGUGACCAGCCCCAGUCAUCACGAUCCACAGGAUCAGGGAGGUGCCCCGAUGACUACGUUUCCCGCAGGCGAGCAGACCCACCAGGCUGUGCUUCCUCAGCAGCCUGCUCUGGA
rnacentral:sRNA from 15 species